rnacentral:rRNA from 1 species
GAUGAACGCUGGCGGCGUGCUUAACACAUGCAAGUCGAACGGAAAGGCCCAAGCUUGCUUGGGUACUCGAGUGGCGAACGGGUGAGUAACACGUGGGUGAUCUGCCCUGCACUUCGGGAUAAGCCUGGGAAACUGGGUCUAAUACCGGAUAGGACCACAUUUUGGAUGGUGUGGUGGAAAGUUUUUCGGUGUGGGAUGAGCUCGCGGCCUAUCAGCUUGUUGGUGGGGUAAUGGCCUACCAAGGCGUCGACGGGUAGCCGGCCUGAGAGGGUGUACGGCCACAUUGGGACUGAGAUACGGCCCAGACUCCGACGGGGGGCAGCAGUGGGGAAUAUUGCACAAUGGGCGCAAGCCUGAUGCAGCGACGCCGCGUGGGGGAGGACGGCCUUCGGGUUGUAAACGCCUUUCGCUAGGGACGAAGCGUUAUGUGACGGUACCUGGAGAAGAAGCACCGGCUAACUACGUG